CACCAGACUCCUACGGGAGGCAGCAGUGGGGGAUAUUGCACAAUGGGGGAAACCCUGAUGCAGCGACGCCGCGUGGGUGAAGAAGCGCCUCGGCGCGUAAAGCCCUGUCAGCAGGGAAGAAAAUGACGGUACCUGAAGAAGAAGCCCCGGCUAACUACGUGCCAGCAGCCGCGGUAAUACGUAGGGGGCAAGCGUUAUCCGGAUUCACUGGGUGUAAAGGGAGCGUAGACGGCGGCGCAAGUCUGGAGUGAAGGCCCGGGGCCCAACGCCGGGACUGCUCUGGAAACUGCGGCGCUGGAGUACGGGAGGGGCAGGCGGAAUUCCUGGUGUAGCGGUGAA
rnacentral:rRNA from 1 species